UACGAAGGGGGCUAGCGUUGUUCGGAAUUACUGGGCGUAAAGCGCGCGCAGGCGGUCUUCCAAGUCAGUGGUGAAAGCCCGGAGCUCAACUCCGGAACUGCCAUUGAAACUGUUAGACUUGAGGACGAGAGAGGUGAGUGGAAUUCCCAGUGUAGAGGUGAAAUUCGUAGAUAUUGGGAAGAACACCAGUGGCGAAGGCGGCUCACUGGCUCGUAUCUGACGCUCAGGCGCGAUAGCGUGGGGAGCAAACAGG
rnacentral:rRNA from 1 species